rnacentral:rRNA from 1 species
GAAACUUAAAGGAAAGUUGACGGGGCCCGCGACAAGCGGUGGAGCAUGUGGUUAAUUCGAAGCAACGCGAAGAACCUUACCAGGCCUUGACAUGCAGAGAACUUUCCAGAGAUGGAUUGGUGCCUUCGGGAACUCUGACACAGGUGCUGCAUGGCUGUCGUCAGCUCGUGUCGUGAGAUGUUGGGUUAAGUCCCGUAACGAGCGCAACCCUUGUCCUUAGUUACCAGCACGUUAUGGUGGGCACUCUAAGGAGACUGCCGGUGACAAACCGGAGGAAGGUGGGGGAUGACGUCAAGUCAUCAUGGCCCUUACGGCCUGGGCUACACACGUGCUACAAUGGUCGGUACAAAGGGUUGCCAAGCCGCGAGGUGGAGCUAAUCCCAUAAAACCGAUCGUAGUCCGGAUCGCAGUCUGCAACUCGACUGCGUGAAGUCGGAAUCGCUAGUAAUCGUGAAUCAGAAUGUCACGGUGAAUACGUUCCCGGGCCUU